rnacentral:rRNA from 1 species
UGGAUCCAGACUUUGAUUAUGGCUCAGGAUGAACGCUAGCUACAGGCUUAACACAUGCAAGUCGAGGGGAAACGAUAGAGAAAGCUUGCUUUUUCUAGGCGUCGACCGGCGCACGGGUGAGUAACGCGUAUCCAACCUGCCCACCACUUGGGGAUAACCUUGCGAAAGUAAGACUAAUACCCAAUGAUAUCUCAAGAAGACAUCUGAAUGAGAUUAAAGAUUCAUCGGUGAUGGAUGGGGAUGCGUCUGAUUAGCUUGUUGGCGGGGUAACGGCCCACCAAGGCUACGAUCAGUAGGGGUUCUGAGAGGAAGGUCCCCCACAUUGGAACUGAGACACGGUCCAAACUCCUACGGGAGGCAGCAGUGAGGAAUAUUGGUCAAUGGGCGAGAGCCUGAACCAGCCAAGUAGCGUGCAGGAUGACGGCCCUAUGGGUUGUAAACUGCUUUUAUAAGGGAAUAAAGUGAGCCUCGUGAGGCUUUUUGCAUGUACCUUAUGAAUAAGGACCGGCUAAUUCCGUGCCAGCAGCCGCGGUAAUACGGAAGGUCCGGGCGUUAUCCGGAUUUAUUGGGUUUAAAGGGAGCGUAGGCCGGAGAUUAAGCGUGUUGUGAAAUGUAGACGCUCAACGUCUGCACUGCAGCGCGAACUGGUUUCCUUGAGUACGCACAAAGUGGGCGGAAUUCGUAGUGUAGCGGUGAAAUGCUUAGAUAUCACGAAGAACUCCGAUUGCGAAGGCAGCUCACUGGAGCGCAACUGACGCUGAAGCUCGAAAGUGCGGGUAUCGAACAGGAUUAGAUACCCUGGUAGUCCGCACGGUAAACGAUGGAUGCCCGCUGUUGGUCUGAAUAGGUCAGCGGCCAAGCGAAAGCAUUAAGCAUCCCACCUGGGGAGUACGCCGGCAACGGUGCAACUCAAAUGAAUUGACGGA